UGGGGAAUCUUGCGCAAUGGGCGAAAGCCUGACGCAGCAACGCCGCGUGCGGGAAGAAGGCCUUAGGGUUGUAAACCGCUUUCAGUAGGAACGAAAAUGACGGUACCUGCAGAAGAAGGUGCGGCCAACUACGUGCCAGCAGCCGCGGUGACACGUAGGCACCAAGCGUUGUCCGGAUUUAUUGGGCGUAAAGAGCUCGUAGGCGGUUGAGUAAGUCGGGUGUGAAAACUCUGGGCUUAACCCAGAGCCGCCACUCGAUACUGCUCUGACUUGAGUUCGGUAGGGGAGAAGGGAAUUCCUAGUGUAGCGGUGAAAUGCGCAGAUAUUAGGAGGAACACCGGUGGCGAAGGCGCUGCUCUGGGCCGAAACUGAAGCAGAGGAGCGAAAGCGUGGGUAGCAAACAGG
rnacentral:rRNA from 1 species